GCGACACGCCGGCGUUCCCUGAGGGGCCGCGGGCCGGAGGCGACGCGCGGCCCGGCUGGCCUGGCCCUGCGCCCGCGUGGCCCUGCGGCGCGUGCCUGCGCUCGGGUUACGCGUUAUCGGCCGCUCGGCCCGCCGCGUGUCGCGGCCCGGGUGAGGUGAUGCGGGCGGAGGCCCGGGGAGGUGACGCCCACCGGGGCCCACGGCCGCCACCCACCACGCGGGUGUCAAUCUGGCCGUCGAGAAACCCGAUCCUGGCCCCGGCGCAAUCUCCGCCAUCUCCCGCGCGUAGCGGUCCCUGUACUGCGAGGUCCUUCUGCUCCCGGUUCCCGCUGCAGACGUCGCCUCUGGGGACUGCAAUUAACCCUUCAAGUUUUUAAAAAAAUAUUGCUUUAGGGUUUUGUUUUAAUAGAUCGGUUUCACUACUCCAGGCUGACCUUGAACUCGCUGAGUAACUUAACUGGAGCCGAUCUUGAACCUUUGAUCCCCCUCCCUCCCCCAGCUCCCAUAUGCUAGAAUUGUAGGCAGGCCACGCCCUGCUGAUCGGGGAAAACAAGGCAGUUCUGUUUAUGACUUUCAGUCUCACAUAAAGCAAGGCGGGAGCUUGGCCCAUUCACCAGAAAGUUUUGUACGGAUUUGUUUAGUUCACUUUAAGAAAUAUGAGAAAGCAGUAAUGCUACUGAUAAUGUUCACAUAAACUCGAAAUAGUACUCCAAAUUUCAUUGGGUUCUUGAGGUGAGUUUUAUUUAAUUUGCCUGUAUUUGUCACUAGUUGGGGAAGUUCUUUUGUCUUAAAAAAAAAAAAAGCUCCAUUUCAUUUAAAAAGUUUGCAAGUCUUGUAGCAUGUCCUGUAGUCCCAAUCCCACCAUCCAGAAGACUGAGCCAGGAGUUACAGGCCAGCCUGUAUUAUGGAAUAAG